rnacentral:rRNA from 1 species
GAUUGAGAACAACGUACAAACCUUAUCGAUAAACAAUUGGAGGGCAAGUCUGGUGCCAGCAGCCGCGGUAAUUCCAGCUCCAAUAGCGUAUAUUAACGUUGUUGCAGUUAAAAAGCUCGUAGUUGAAAUGAAGGGUAGUUGUGUAAUGAAUACAUUCGUGUAUUUUGUUAUUCUACUACCCUCCUUCUAAAUUCGAUAUAUGAGUAUUAAUUUACUUGUAUAUGGUUUUAGACGUUUACUGUGAGAAAAUUAGAGUGUUCAAAGCAGGCAUUUGCUUGAAUAUAUUAGCAUGGAAUAAUCAUGUAUGAUUUUCAUGAUGUAUUUGAUUGGUUUGGUUCAUGAGAAUAAGAUUAAAAGGGACAGUUGGGGGUAUUCAUAUUCAAUAGUCAGAGGUGAAAUUCUCGGAUUUAUGGAAGAUGAACAAGUGCGAAAGCAUUUACCAAGGAUGUUUUCAUUAAUCAAGAACGAAAGUUAGGGGAUCGAAGAGGAUUAGAUACCCUCGUA